ensembl:lncRNA
AGGGUCUGGGAGGUAUCUUAGGGUCAGGACUGUGGGAGAGGGCAGGGACUGGGAGGUGUCUUAGGGUCAGGACUGUGGGAGAGGGCAGGGACUGUGGGAGAGGGCAGGGACUGGGAGGUAUCUUAGGGUCAGGACUGUGGGAGAGGGCAGGGACUGUGGGAGAGGGCAGGGACUGGGAGGUGUCUUAGGGUCAGGACUGUGGGAGAGGGCAGGGACUGUGGGAGAGGGCAGCGACUGUGGGAGAGGGCAGGGACUGGGAGGUAUCUUAGGGUCAGGACUGUGGGAGAGGGCAGGGACUGGGAGGUGUCUUAGGGUCAGAACUGUGGGAGAGGGCAGGGACUGUGGGAGAGGGCAGGGACUGGGAGGUAUCUUAGGGUCAGGACUGUGGGAGAG